CUGGAGUGCAAUGGCACGAUCUCAGCUCACUGCAACUUCCGCCUCCCAGGUUCAAGCGAUUCUCCUGCCUCAGCCUCCCCAGUAGCUGGGAUCACAGGUGCCCACCACCACGCCCGACUAUUUUUUUGUAUUUUUAGUAGAGAUGUGGUUUCACCAUGUUGGCCAGGCUGGUCUCGAACUCCUGACCUUGUGAUCCGCCCGCCUCGGCCUCACAAAGUGCUGGGAUUACAGGCAUGAGCCACCGCGCCCAGCCAGGAAGCAAUUCUUAAUAUGCUUGCCUUCCUGUAGCCCUCUCCCUGGCUCAACUAACUCAGAUACCAGUGCCUACAGCCAAGGAUUCAAUGCAGAUGAAAACACACUUUCCAUCUCAUAAUGGUUAAACACCAGGGGAGGAAACUGCUCUAAGCGAUCCAACAGAAAAGGUGAAAAUAGAGCUAUCCAUUUAGGUUCCUACAUCCAGAUUUCCCCAUCCAUUGUAAGUUCUGAAACAUCAUUAAGAACCUUGACUUAGACUCCAUGACUUGAUUCAACAGAACAUUCUAGAAACUUUCUUCUAGUCUCUCCAUCCUAAAAAUGUAAUGAAAAUAAGGCAGGUGGCCAGGCACAGUGGCUCAUGCUUGUAAUCCCAACACAGGGAGACCCCGUCUCUACAAAUAAUUUAAAACUUAGCUGGGUGUGGUGGUGCACACCUGUGGUCCCAGCUACUCACGAGGCUAAGGCAGGAGGAUAACCUGAGCUGGGGAGGUUGAGGUUGCAGUGAGCCAUGAUUGUGCCACUGCACUCCAGGCUGGGCAACAGAGUGAGACCCUGUCUCAAAAAAAAGAAAAAAGAAAGAAAAUGAGAAAGGUCUUUUGGCUUUAUUGGAAUUGCCAUUACCUCUGUGGAUUUAAUAAGCUUCAAUUUAAGUGUUACAUUUCUCAUUUUACUUCCAAAUUAAUACUGACUGUUAAGGAGGCAGCCAGGGUAUGUGAGCCCAUAUCACUCAUGCUCCCAAUGUCAGGAAGGAGGAAGAUCUGUAACCCAAGAGAAGUUGCUAUGUGGUGUGUUAUCACAAGGGACUAGGAUAACAGAAAACCCUGAAAGUUAGGACAGUGCUGGAGACCGAGAUUUUUUUGCUAUCCUAAUGUCUUACAUGUUUUAAAUUUUACCCUUCCUCAAGAGACUUCUGUUUUGUUUUGUUUUCAGAACAGAUAGAAACAGGGUCUCAUUGUGUUGCCCAGGCUGCUCGAACCUCUGGGCUCAAGCUAUCGUCCUGCCUCAGCCUCCAAAGUGCUGUGAUUACAGGCGUGAGUCACUGUGCCCAGCAGAGACUUUGGAAAUGAUAACUUCACAGCCUCCUUUGUGGCACAUGAGAAAAAGUAUUGAAACUGAAAUGCAAGUGUGGGAGAACUUUAGUGCGAUAGGGUGAAAUGAGGGACAGGUGACACUGUCAACUUGGCUUCUGCCCCAAUCCUAUCUGCAAGUGCUUUGGUGUCAAACACUUCAGCCAAAUGUUUAACUGAAGUGUCCUUGGUGGGGAGCCCAUAGAAAUGGAUCAAAAAGCUCCUUGAGGCCGGGCGCGGUGGCUCACACCUGUAAUCGCAGCACUUUGGGAGGCCAAGGCAUGAGCCACCGCGCCUGGCCAAGGGUUAAUUUAUUAUUGAUGAAAAAAAUUUUUUUAUAAAUUUAGUGUAGCCUAAGUAUACAGUAUCUAUAAAAAGUCUACAGUAGUAUACGGUAAUGUCCUAGGCCGCCUAUUCACUCACCACUCACUCACUGACUCACCUAGAACAACUUCCAGUUCUGCAAGUUCCAUUCAUGGUAAGUGCCCUCAUACAGGUAUACCUUUUUUUUUCUCUUUUAUACUGUAUUUUUACUGUACCUUUUCUAUGUUUAGAUAUGUUUGGAUAUACAAAUUCUUACCAUUGUGUUACAAUUGCCUACAGUAUUCAGUACAGUAACCUGCUAUACAGGUUUGUAGCCUAGGAGCAAUAGGCUACACUAUAUAGACCAGGUGUCCGGUAGGCUAUACCAUCUAGGUUUGUAGAAGUAUACUCCAUGACGUUUGCACAACAACUAAACCACCUAAUGACACAUUUCUUGGAACAUAUCCCCAUCAUUAAGUAACACAUGACUGUAUUUUCUGUCUCGGUCCUUCUGACGUUUGAUAUUUCUUAGCUUUCUAUUUAUUUACUUUUUUAACUGCCAGUAUUUUUUAGAUUCUGUUUUCUGGCUUCUAGUCCCCAAAUUCCUAUCCUUCCACCAUAUUUCUGAAAGCUUUUAUGGUCACUAUUUCUCGAGCCCCAUAAGAUUACUAGAGGAGUGCUGAGAAAUGAGAUCCUUUUGAUCCGAUGACCUGGUAGGUAACAGAAAAUAAUGAAACUCUGAUGACUUGACUAGGGAUUCAACCCCUUACUGGCCUCUAAUUCCAGUAUCAAUGCUUCCCAUGUUCAACACCUUUUGGCUUUGAAGAGCCCCAGGCAAGUGACAAGUAGUCAUAGAAUAAACACCAAGAUGGAGAAAUGGAAAUGAUGGCAGGGUUUCUUCUAGUCCCAAUUGGUCUUAGUUAAUGAUAGGUUCAUCUGGCAUUUGGAAAGCAAGAAUGUUAUUUUAGACUGAAACGUCCCAGCUUUCUUCAAGUUGACCAACUAAAAAAGCUAGGGAAUUGGCCAGGCG
rnacentral:lncRNA from 1 species